CAGUGAUAAACUGGAGGAAGGUGGGGAUGACGUCAAGUCAUCAUGGCCCUUACGACCAGGGCUACACACGUGCUACAAUGGCGCAUACAAAGAGAAGCGACCUCGCGAGAGCAAGCGGACCUCAUAAAGUGCGUCGUAGUCCGGAUUGGAGUCUGCAACUCGACUCCAUGAAGUCGGAAUCGCUAGUAAUCGUGGAUCAGAAUGCCACGGUGAAUACGUUCCCGGGCCUUGUACACACCGCCCGUCACACCAUGGGAGUGGGUUGCAAAAGAAGUAGGUAGCUUAACCUCCGGGAGGGCGCUUACCACUUUGU
rnacentral:rRNA from 1 species